AUUGAACGCUGGCGGCAUGCUUUACACAUGCAAGUCGAACGGCAGCACGGGUGCUUGCACCUGGUGGCGAGUGGCGGACGGGUGAGUAAUACAUCGGAACGUAUCCUAAAGUGGGGGAUAACGCAUCGAAAGAUGUGCUAAUACCGCAUACACUCUGAGGAGGAAAGUAGGGGAUCGAAAGACCUUAUGCUUUUGGAGCGGCCGAUGUCUGAUUAGCUAGUUGGUAAGGUAAUGGCUUACCAAGGCAACGAUCAGUAGUUGGUCUGAGAGGACGACCAGCCACACUGGGACUGAGACACGGCCCAGACUCCUACGGGAGGCAGCAGUGGGGAAUUUUGGACAAUGGGCGCAAGCCUGAUCCAGCAAUGCCGCGUGAGUGAAGAAGGCCUUCGGUUGUAAAGCUCUUUCUAGUUGAGAAGAAAGAAUUAGUGACUAAUAAUUAGCAAUU
rnacentral:rRNA from 1 species